rnacentral:rRNA from 1 species
UGGGGAAUAUUGCACAAUGGGCGAAAGCCUGAUGCAGCGACGCCGCGUGCGGGAUGAAGGCCUUCGGGUUGUAAACCGCUUUCAGCAGGGACGAGGCCGCAAGGUGACGGUACCUGCAGAAGAAGCCCCGGCUAACUACGUGCCAGCAGCCGCGGUAAUACGUAGGGGGCAAGCGUUAUCCGGAUUCAUUGGGCGUAAAGAGCUCGUAGGCGGCCCGUUAGGUCAGGAGUAAAAUUCGGGGGCUCAACCCCCGCGCGCUUCUGAUACCGGCGGGCUUGAGUUUGGUAGGGGAAGGUGGAAUUCCCAGUGUAGCGGUGGAAUGCGCAGAUAUUGGGAAGAACACCGGUGGCGAAGGCGGCCUUCUGGGCCACAACUGACGCUGAGGAGCGAAAGCUAGGGGAGCGAACA